rnacentral:sRNA from 1 species
UGAUGUCCCGCCUCAUCUGAGGGUACUGC